GCGGAUGUGAUGGAAUUGGUAGACAUACUAGUUUUAGGAGCUAGGGAAUUAAAAUUCGUGGGGGUUCGAGUCCCUCUAUCCGUA
rnacentral:tRNA from 1 species